UGAAUACGAGAUGCUACGGCGUCGAAGCAGUCUAUGUCAUACUUCCAAGAAAAGCUCGCACUGUCAUAAACAAAUAAUGCCUGUACCAUAACCGACACAGGUGGGUAGGUAGAGUAUACUAAGGGGCGCGAGAUAACUCUCUCUAAGGAACUCGGCAAAAUGACUCCGUAACUUCGGGAGAAGGAGUGCCUUAUUUAUAAGGUUGCAAUAACAAGAUCCAAGCAACUGUUUAUCAAAAACACAGGUCUCCGCUAAGUCGUAAGACGAUGUAUGGGGGCUGACGCCUGCCCAGUGCCAGAAGGUUAAAGAAGUUGGUUAGCAUUCGCGAAGCUGAUAACUGAAGCCCUGGUGAACGGCGGCCGUAACAAUAACGGUCCUAAGGUAGCGAAAUUCCUUGUCGGGUAAGUUCCGACCCGCACGAAAGGCGUAAUGAUUUGGAUACUGUCUCGGAGAGGGGCUCGGUGAAAUAGACUUGUCUGUGAAGAUGCGGACUACCUGCACCAGGACAGAAAGACCCUAUGAAGCUUUACUGUAACUUGAGAUUGAAAUUGGACUUUACUUGCGCAGUAUAGGUGGGAGGCGUUGAUAAUAUUCUUGCGGGAUUAUUUGAGCCAUCAGUGAGAUACCACUCUUGUAAUGUUAGAUUUCUAACUUUGUAUCAUUAUCUGGUCAAAGGACAGUUUCAGGCGGGCAGUUUGACUGGGGCGGUCGCCUCCUAAACGGUAACGGAGGCGCACAAAGGUUUCCUCUGAACGGGUAGAAAUCGUAUCUAGAGUGUAAAGGCAUAAGGAAGCUUGACUGUGAGACCUACAAGUCGAGCAGGGACGAAAGUCGGUCUUAGUGAUCUGACGGUGCUGAGUGGAAAGGCCGUCACUCAACGGAUAAAAGUUACUCUAGGGAUAACAGGCUGAUCUCCCCCAAGAGUUCACAUCGACGGGGAGGUUUGGCACCUCGAUGUCGGCUCAUCGCAUCCUGGGGCGGUAGUACGUCCCAAGGGUUGGGCUGUUCGCCCAUGAAAGCGGUACGCGAGCUGGGUUCAGAACGCCGUGAGACAGUUCGGUCCAUAUCCGGUGUAGGCGUUAGAAUAUUGAGAGGAGCCUUCUUUAGUACAAGAGGACCGAGAAGGACAUACCUCUGGUGUACCAGUUAUCGUGCCAACGGUAAACGCUGGGUAGCUAUGUAUGGAGUGGAUAACCGCUGAAAGCAUCUAAGUGGGAAGCCCACCUCAAGAUAAGUA
rnacentral:rRNA from 1 species